AUGGUCAUCGUAGGUAUGUGGUUAUUGCAAGUUCCCAGCAGGUGGCGGGAAAAUGUCUGGAGGAAGGGGCACCUCUUCCUAAUUUGCUCAGUUGCCGUAUCGGCUAGUGCUGGCCCCGCGUUCCAGCUACGUUGGCCUAUGAGCGUCGGUUGCCAGGGGCACGGCCCGAGGACGUCCCCGUGUGACGCGGGGCGCCCUUCUCUCAUCCAGCAGAAUCCCGUCCUUGAAGGCGAGCGAGGGGUGGCCAGGCUGGGGUGGGGGGGAAGACAGGACGCUGGAAGGCCGUACGUUCCCCUCUGUGCCCGGGGCCGCGACAGUCCUCCUGGGACUGUCCACUCGUGUUCCAGCCGGAAGGAAGGUCCCCGCUCCUCCGCAGAACUCGCGCGUGGCCCCGAACCCUGCACGGGACACGAGCGGCAUCUCCGUGUGGCCCUCCCGCUGUGUCUUCACUACCCUCUGUUCUUCCAGAAGCUGUCCGGGUGCUUCCUCAGUGGCUCCCUCUUCCCGUGGAAGCCCGCCAGCGGGUCCGGCGCUGGGGACAGUGAGGUCAAGGCUUUGUCCCCUCAGCUGCCUUCUGGGGGGGCUCUCGUGCACCUGCUGUCGGGGCAGUGCUGCGCUCAGGUCACUGGGUGUCCCUGUGAUCGAGGCAUCGCCCGUCAAAGACGUGGAGGCUCAGACGUUGCAUGUGUGUCUCUGGGUUCUGGAGGUCGGGAGUCUGAAAUGGACCUCGAGGGACUAAAAUUGGGGUGUGGGCGCGUGGUGUUCCUCCUGGAGGCUUGGGGACGGGACCCUGUUCCUUCUGCCUCCAGCUGCUCCGGGCCUGCGGGCCGUGGCUCCUUGCCCCUUGUCACCGCAGUCCCUGUAGUCACAUUUCCUCCUCCGAGUCCCCUGCGUUCCCCUUACCAGGACCCCAUGACCAGCCGGGCCCCCGUGCCCCCAGGAUCACUCUUGCAGAGCCCCCGUUGGGGUGGAAGGCCACGCGUGCACAGGCUGGGGGAUGAGGCCGUGGGCACCGGAGAGGGGCCGCUCCCCUGCCGCCCGCACUCCACCUCGGGGCUCGGGGGGGCCUGGCUGUUACUGUCUCCCAUGGCUUCGCCGCAUCCUGCCCGCGCCCCCCGUAAACCUUCCUCGUGUCGGCAGUGCUCGGGGGUCCCUGCUGAGCCUCAGUGCAUGUUCUCUGCAGGUUGA
rnacentral:lncRNA from 1 species